AACGCACCUUGCGCUCCUUGGUAUUCCGAGGAGCAUGCCUGUUUGAGUGUCAUUAAAUUCUCAACCACACCAUUUGUGUUAACAAGUGAUUGCGGCUUGGAUGUUGGGGGUACAUCUGCGGGCCUCUCUAGGGGUCAGCUCCCCUAAAAUGCAUUAGCAGAACCGUUUGCGGUCAGUCACUGGUGUGAUAAUUAUCUACGCCCAAGACAAAGGCUGCUCUCGUUAGUUCCGCUUCAAAUCGUCCGUUCAUGGACAAAUUCUGAAUACUUGACCUCAAAUCAGGUAGGACUACCCGCUGAACUUAA
rnacentral:misc_RNA from 1 species